GCCCAAUUGAUUGAUGGGUGCUUGCACCUGAUUGAUUUUGGUCGCCAACGAGUGGCGGACGGGUGAGUAACACGUAGGUAACCUGCCCAGAAGCGGGGGACAACAUUUGGAAACAGAUGCUAAUACCGCAUAACAGCGUUGUUCGCAUGAACAACGCUUAAAAGAUGGCUUCUCGCUAUCACUUCUGGAUGGACCUGCGGUGCAUUAGCUUGUUGGUGGGGUAACGGCCUACCAAGGCGAUGAUGCAUAGCCGAGUUGAGAGACUGAUCGGCCACAAUGGGACUGAGACACGGCCCAUACUCCUACGGGAGGCAGCAGUAGGGAAUCUUCCACAAUGGGCGCAAGCCUGAUGGAGCAACACCGCGUGAGUGAAGAAGGGUUUCGGCUCGUAAAGCUCUGUUGUUAAAGAAGAACACGUAUGAGAGUAACUGUUCAUACGUUGACGGUAUUUAACCAGAAAGUCACGGCUAACUACGUGCCAGCAGCCGCGGUAAUACGUAGGUGGCAAGCGUUAUCCGGAUUUAUUGGGCGUAAAGAGAGUGCAGGCGGUUUUCUAAGUCUGAUGUGAAAGCCUUCGGCUUAACCGGAGAAGUGCAUCGGAAACUGGAUAACUUGAGUGCAGAAGAGGGUAGUGGAACUCCAUGUGUAGCGGUGGAAUGCGUAGAUAUAUGGAAGAACACCAGUGGCGAAGGCGGCUACCUGGUCUGCAACUGACGCUGAGACUCGAAAGCAUGGGUAGCGAACAGGAUUAGAUACCCUGGUAGUCCAUGCCGUAAACGAUGAGUGCUAGGUGUUGGAGGGUUUCCGCCCUUCAGUGCCGGAGCUAACGCAUUAAGCACUCCGCCUGGGGAGUACGACCGCAAGGUUGAAACUCAAAGGAAUUGACGGGGGCCCGCACAAGCGGUGGAGCAUGUGGUUUAAUUCGAAGCUACGCGAAGAACCUUACCAGGUCUUGACAUCUUGCGCCACCCUAGAGAUAGGGCGUUUCCUUCGGGAACGCAUGACAGGUGGGGCAUGGUCGUCGUCAACUCGGGUCGUGAGAUGUUGGGUUAAUCCCGCAACGACGCACCCUUGUUCUAUUGCCACAUUAAUUGGGCCUCUAGGGAAAUGCCGGGACAACCGGAGGAGGGGGGACAACUCAAACUCCUGCCCUUUUACCGGGUUACACGGGCUAAUGGGAGGGAAAAAAAAUCCGAACCCCGGGGGAGAAAAUCUUUAAAACGUUCUUUGGGGGGGGGGGGAACCCCGCGCAAAGAAACAUUAAAAGGGAGAAAGCGGGGAAAUC
rnacentral:rRNA from 1 species